ACCAUUUGCACUGGAAAACGAAAACGAGCGUUUCUUAUUGGACAACCUCAGGCAGUCCAUUUUCCUGUGUUUGGUACCUAAAUGAAUAGGCUGUAAUCCGGCUCAGCUGCUGCAAAGAUGGCGAACAGAAAUACCAGGAUGGAAGCAAAUGGACUCCUGAAACAACCAGCAAACCAGGCUGUCGUCUUGUGAAACGGUGGAUGUAAAGAAUAUAGCUAGAUAAAGCAUUUACUGCAAAUUGAAUGUACAAUUUUGUAAGCUUGCCUUGUGGAUAACGUAACUAGCUAACUAUUUUCCUGUUUAUUGGGCAGUGGAGGAUCAAAUCCCUGUAUGCCUAUGGAUGUGUAGCUGUCUAGCUGAUCUGUGUAUGGACACAAACGUUUGGUAUACAUAUUGGUUCAGAACCUAGAUAUGAACUUAAACUAUCAUAGCUGGUUGUAUCAACUUCAAAACAGUGUGAAUGACAUUAAUGAAGCCUAUGGAUUGAGUAUAAUAUAACUUUGUGCCAAGGAUGCAAGUCGUAUAUACAUGUAGCAUGAGAUCCCCACAUUGUGGCCUGUACAUUUAAUAUAUCCACUGAUCAUGUACUCUACCUUGGUAAAUAAAGGUGCGGUUCAGGUA